AGAUAGACUUUAUGGCCAUCUCUAAAUCCUUUCAUUUACAUUUUAUUUAUGUAAUUGAAUGGUUCCUUCUAUAUCAUGUGUUUUCUGUACUUGUAAUUUCACAAAUUGGUUUCCUAUUGCCUCAGGUUAUUUUCUAUCCAAAUGUUGUAUCCAUUUCUAUUAUCAAGAUUAACCAACAUGCCUGAUUGAAAUAACAAUCACAGCUGGCCAGUGCUGAGUAUCUGAAGAAAAGCCUUAGAAUUCAUUUCUAAACUAAAAGAUGAAGUAAGACCAUCUUGUGCAUCAGUGAGAAGCCUGUAGCUGGAUAAAAGUGAGCUGAGUUUACAAACUGUGGAAUAACCACAAUGCCAUUAUUAGAGCAUUUUUCUUCUCACACUAAAGGAGUCAGUCACACAGUUACAGGAUAUUUGCUGAGUUUCCAGUUGAGGC